rnacentral:misc_RNA from 1 species
GAAAUGCGAUACUUGGUGUGAAUUGCAGAAUCCCGUGAACCAUCGAGUCUUUGGACGCAAGUUGCAGCCGAAGCCUUCUGGCCGAGGGCACGUCUACCUGGGCGUCACGCAUCGCGUCUCCCCCCACCCCACCCUUGUGUGGGAAAAGGGGGAGGAGGAUGACCUCCCACGCCUCACCGGCGUGGCUGGUCUAAAAACAGAGCCUCAGGUCUUGGACUGCUGCGGCGUAUGGUGGUAUACAAGGCAUUCCCUAGGAAGCAUCGCGUCGCGCAGCACGUAGCCCGCGAGAACUCGUAGGACCCUAACUUUGUCUACUCACGGCGGCAAAACCGUUGCGACCCCAGGUCAGGCAGGACUACCCGCUGAGUUUGA